AUGCCCCACCACCCUCAUUCUGUGCUCUCUGACCUCCCCCGCCACCCCCAUUCCGUGUUCUCAGACUACCACCCCCAUUCUGUGCUCUCUGACCUUCCCCGCCACCCCCAUUCCGUGUUCUCAGACUACCACUCCCAUUCUGUGCUCUCUGACCUCUCCCUCCACUCCCAUUCAGUGUUCACAGAGUACCACCCCCCUACUGGGCUCUCUGAGCUGCCCCGUCACCCUGAUUCAGUGUUCACGGACUACCACCCCCCUACUGGGCUCUCUGAGCUGCCACGCCACCCCGAUUCGGUAUUCACAGACUACCACCCCCCUACUGGGCUGUCGGAGCUCCCACGCCACCCCGAUUCGGUGUUCUCAGACUACCAGCCCCCAUCUGGGCUCUCUGAGCUACCGCGCCACCCCGAUUCGGUGUUCUCGGACUACCAGCCCCCAUCUGGGCUCUCUGAGCUACCACGCCACCCCGAUUCGGUGUUCUCGGACUACCAGCCCCCAUCUGGGCUCUCGGAGCUACCGCGCCACCCCGAUUCGGUGUUCUCGGACUACCAGCCCCCGUCUGGGCUCUCGGAGCUCCCGCGCCACCCCGAUUCGGUGUUCUCGGACUACCAGCCCCCGUCUGGGCUCUCGGAGCUCCCGCGCCACCCCGAUUCAGUGUUCUCGGACUACCAGCCCCCGUCUGGGCUCUCGGAGCUCCCGCGCCACCCCGAUUCGGUGUUCUCGGACUACCAGCCCCCGUCUGGGCUCUCGGAGCUCCCACGACACCCUGAUUCAGUGUUCUCAGACUACUACUCCCAGUCUGUGUUCUCUGACUACCACUCCCAUUCUGUGCUCUCCGACCUCUCCCACCACCCCCAUUCUUUGUUCUCCGAUGUCUCUGAUUAUUCCCAUUUUGUACUCUCUGACCACCAUGACCCCCAUUCUGUGCUCUCUGACCUUUCUAAUUAUCCCCAUUUUGUGCUCGCUGACCACCCUCACUACCCCUAUUCUGUGCUCUCUGACCUCUCCCACUACCCCCACUCCGUGCUCUCUGACCUCUCUCACUAUUCCAGUUCUGCGUUCUCCGACCUCCCCCAGCCUCAUUUUGUGAUCCCUGCCUUCCUAUACCACCCUCAUUUCGUGUUCUCUGACACCCACCCCCACUGCCAAUUUGUGCUCUCUGACAUCUAUCCCUACUGCUAUUUUGUGCUCUGA
rnacentral:lncRNA from 1 species